AGAACCAACAGGGAUUGCCCCAGUAACGGCGAGUGAAGCGGCAACAGCUCAAAUUUGAAAUCUGGUCCCCAGGGCCCGAGUUGUAAUUUGCAGAGGAUGCUUUUGGUGAGGUGCCUUCCGAGUUCCCUGGAACGGGACGCCAUAGAGGGUGAGAGCCCCGUCUGGUUGGAUACCGAGCCUCUGUAAAGCUCCUUCGACGAGUCGAGUAGUUUGGGAAUGCUGCUCUAAAUGGGAGGUAUAUGUCUUCUAAAGCUAAAUAUUGGCCAGAGACCGAUAGCGCACAAGUAGAGUGAUCGAAAGAUGAAAAGCACUUUGAAAAGAGGGUUAAAUAGUACGUGAAAUUGUUGAAAGGGAAGCACUUAUGACCAGACUUGGCCCCGGUGAAUCAUCCAGCGGUUCCCGUUGGUGCACUUUGCCGGGGUUCAGGCCAGCAUCAGUUCGCUCCGGGGGAUAAAGGCUUUGGGAAUGUGGCUCCCUCGGGAGUGUUAUAGCCCAUUGCGCAAUACCCUGUGGCGGGCUGAGGUUCGCGCUUUAUGCAAGGAUGCUGGCAUAAUGGUCAUCAGUGACCCGUCUUGAAACACGGACCAAGGAGUCGUCUUCGUAUGCGAGUGUUCGGGUGUUAAACCCCUACGCGUAAUGAAAGUGAACGCAGGUGAGAGCCCUCCAGGGCGCAUCAUCGACCGAUCCUGAUGUUCUCGGAUGGAUUUGAGUAAGAGCAUACGGGGCCGGACCCGAAAGAAGGUGAACUAUGCCUGUAUAGGGUGAAGCCAGAGGAAACUCUGGUGGAGGCUCGCAGCGGUUCUGACGUGCAAAUCGAUCGUCAAAUAUGGGCAUGGGGGCGAAAGACUAAUCGAA
rnacentral:rRNA from 1 species